CGCAUCUGUGCAUGCAGCAUAUCAAUAAGCGGAGGAAAAGAAACUAACAAGGAUUCCCCUAGUAACGGCGAGUGAAGCGGGAAGAGCUCAAAUUUGAAAUCUUAAAGGGUUUCCCUUUACGAAUUGUAGUUUAAAGAAGUGUUUUCUGUUGAGGUUUUGGUAAAAGUUCUUUGGAAUAGGACAUCAUAGAGGGUGAGAAUCCCGUAUUUGACCUUUACUUUCAACUUUGUGAUACACUUUCAAAGAGUCGGAUUGUUUGGGAAUGCAGUCCAAAAUGGGUGGUAAAUUUCAUCUAAAGCUAAAUAUUGGCGAGAGACCGAUAGCGAACAAGUACCGUGAGGGAAAGAUGAAAAGAACUUUGAAAAGAGAGUUAAACAGUACGUGAAAUUGUCAAAAGGGAAGCGUUUGACACCAGUGUUGUUUUUCUGAAAAUCAAUUAAAGAACUGUUUAUGCUAAGUUGUUUAGACUUUAUCAGCUAACUGUUUAGUUUUGAGCUUUUCUUUAAUGCACUUUUCAGUUAACAAGUCAACAUUCAAUUUCUUUUGCUGUAAAAAAGCUUGAGGAAGGUGGCUUGAGAUUCGUCUUAAGUGUUUAUAGCCUCUUGCCUAUGCAGUCGGAGAGAUUGAGGUCUGCAGCGUAGAUCCUUCGGGGCUAAAUGCAUUUGUGCUAAGUUAUAGCAUUUUAUAGACAACUUGUUGACUAUGAUUUGUCUUGUAGCUUACUCGCUUAUGUUAUUUUACCUACGCUUAGGAUGUUGACAGCAGUAUAGACUGU
rnacentral:rRNA from 1 species